AGCUUUGCGCAGCGGCAGUAUCGUAGCCAAUGAGGUUUAUCCGAGGCGCGAUCAUUGCUAAUUGAAAACAGGAGUAGUUUUGGUGCUGGGGAUGAACCCUGGGCCCUGCACAUACUAGGCAAGUGCUCUACCACUGAAUGACACCCCAACAGGGG
rnacentral:snRNA from 1 species